GCCUGGGUGGCUCAGUCGGUUAAGCAUCUGACUCUGGCUCAGGUCAUGAUCUCACGGUCCGUGAGUUCGAGCCCCACGUCGGGCU
rnacentral:tRNA from 1 species